UACAGAGGGUGCUAGCGUUGUUCGGAAUCAUUGGGCGUAAAGGGCGUGUAGGCGGUUUGUUAAGUCAUGUGUGAAAUCCCUCGGCUCAACCGGGGAACGACGCAUGAAACUGGCAAGCUAGAGUACCAAAGAGGGGGGUGGAAUUCCCGGUGUAGUGGUGAAAUGCGUAGAUAUCGGGAGGAACACCAGUGGCGAAGGCGACUACCUGGCCUGUUCUUGACGCUGAGGCGCGAAAGCUAGGGGAGCGAACGGG
rnacentral:rRNA from 1 species